rnacentral:rRNA from 1 species
AACGAACGCUGGCGGCAGGCUUAACACAUGCAAGUCGAACGGGCGUAGCAAUACGUCAGUGGCGGACGGGUGAGUAACACGUGGGAAUGUGCCUUUCGGUUCGGAACAACUCGGGGAAACCCGUGCUAAUUCCGGAUACGCCCUUACGGGGAAAGAUUUAUCGCCGAAAGAUCAGCCCGCGUCCGAUUAGCUAGUUGGUGAGGUAAAGGCUCACCAAGGCACCGAUCGGUAGCUGGUUUGAGAGAACGACCAGCCACACUGGGACUGAGACACGGCCCAGACUCCUACGGGAGGCAGCAGUGGGGAAUCUUGGACAAUGGGCGCAAGCCUGAUCCAGCCAUGCCGCGUGAGUGAUGAAGGCCUU